AAAUGAGGUGCAGGUGGGGAGAUGGGCAGGGAAAGCUCAGGUGAGGAGAUGAGAUGAUUGCAGGGCUCAUAUGACUGGCAAGAUCUGGAAUAAAAUACAUGUCAGAGGGCAUCCCGGUGCACAGGACCCAAGCUGUGGAUUUGCUGCAAACGUCGACUGUCACUCAUCUUCCCUUUCACUGCUGUAUAUUAAAGGCGGAACGUCACGGUGAAAUCAGGAACAAUGUGUCACCUGCAUCAUUCAGCCGCUAAUUUGCGGGUCCGUCGCUCCGGACUUUGAUGACGCUUUCAUUAUGAUGAGACGGCCUUUUGUUUUGAAUGUUUCCAGUCUGCUGAGAAAAUGCGGCAUCAUUGUCUCUGUGUAACCAGCUGUGUUUAAAAAAAAAAA